GACGAACGCUGGCGGCGUGCUUAACACAUGCAAGUCGAACGGAAAGGCCCUGCUUUUGUGGGGUGCUCGAGUGGCGAACGGGUGAGUAACACGUGAGUAACCUGCCCUUGACUUUGGGAUAACUUCAGGAAACUGGGGCUAAUACCGGAUAGGAGCUCCUGCUGCAUGGUGGGGGUUGGAAAGUUUCGGCGGUUGGGGAUGGACUCGCGGCUUAUCAGCUUGUUGGUGGGGUAGUGGCUUACCAAGGCUUUGACGGGUAGCCGGCCUGAGAGGGUGACCGGCGACGUUGGGACUGAGAUACGGCCCAGACUCCGACGGGAGGCAGCAGUGGGGAAUAUUGCAGAAUGGGCGGAAGCCUGAUGCAGCAACGCCGGGUGCGGGAUGACGGCCUUCGGGUUGUAAACCGCUUUCGCCUGUGACGAAGCGUGAGUGGCGGUAAUGGGUAAAGAAGCACCGGCUAACUACGUG
rnacentral:rRNA from 1 species